GAUGAACGCUGGCGGCGUGCCUAAUACAUGCAAGUCGAGCGAACAGAUAAGGAGCUUGCUCCUUUGAAGUUAGCGGCGGACGGGUGAGUAACACGUGGGUAACCUACCUAUAAGACUGGGAUAACUUCGGGAAACCGGAGCUAAUACCGGAUAACAUUUAGAACCGCAUGGUUCUAAAGUGAAAGAUGGUUUUGCUAUCACUUAUAGAUGGACCCGCGCCGUAUUAGCUAGUUGGUAAGGUAACGGCUUACCAAGGCGACGAUACGUAGCCGACCUGAGAGGGUGAUCGGCCACACUGGAACUGAGACACGGUCCAGACUCCUACGGGAGGCAGCAGUAGGGAAUCUUCCGCAAUGGGCGAAAGCCUGACGGAGCAACGCCGCGUGAGUGAUGAAGGGUUUCGGCUCGUAAAACUCUGUUAUUAGGGAAGAACAAAUGUGUAAGUAACUGCGCACAUCUUGACGGUACCUAAUCAGAAAGCCACGGCUAACUACGU
rnacentral:rRNA from 1 species